AUUGAACGCUGGCGGCAGGCUUAACACAUGCAAGUCGAGCGGGGGAAGGUAGCUUGCUACCGGACCUAGCGGCGGACGGGUGAGUAAUGCUUAGGAAUCCGCCUAUUAGUGGGGGACAACAUCUCGAAAGGGAUGCUAAUACCGCAUACGUCCUACGGGAGAAAGCAGGGGAUCUUCGGACCUUGCGCUAAUAGAUGAGCCUAAGUCGGAUUAGCUAGUUGGUGGGGUAAAGGCCUACCAAGGCGACGAUCUGUAGCGGGUCUGAGAGGAUGAUCCGCCACACUGGGACUGAGACACGGCCCAGACUCCUACGGGAGGCAGCAGUGGGGAAUAUUGGACAAUGGGGGGAACCCUGAUCCAGCCAUGCCGCGUGUGUGAAGAAGGCCUUAUGGUAGUAAAGCACUUUAAGCGAGGAGGAGGCUACUUUAGUUAAUACCUAGAGAUAGUGGACGUUACUCGCAGAAUAAGCACCGGCUAACUCUGUGCCAGCAGCCGCGGUAA
rnacentral:rRNA from 1 species